GUAUGAGCUUGGCCGCCAGCCUGCUAACACCAAACUGUCUAGCAAUGAGACAGUGAGGAGGGUCCAUGUUCGUGGAGGCAACGCGAAGUGGAGGGCUCUCCGAUUGGAUACAGGUAACUGCUCGUGGGGAAGUGAGGCUCUUAUCCGCAAGACUCACAUCCUGGAUGUGGUCUAUAAUGCAUCAAACAAUGAGCUUGUGAGGACUCAGACUCUUGUGAAGAGUGCCAUUGUACAAGUUGAUGCUGCUCCAUUCAAGCAGUGGUACCUCACUCACUAUGGAGUGGACAUCGGUAGGAAGAAGAAGGUGCAUGUCGCUAAGAAGGAUGACACUGAGGGACAAGAGGGUGAGGCUAUAGUUGAGGAAACAAAGAAGAGUAACCAUGUGCAGAGGAAGAUUGAUAAGCGCCACCAGUAUCGUGCACUCGACACUCAUAUUGAAGAGAAAUUUGGAAGUGGGAGAUUGUUGGCCUGCAUUUCUGCCCAUCCUAGGCAGUGUGGUCGAGCUGAUGG